UACAGAGGGUGCAAGCGUUAAUCGGAAUUACUGGGCGUAAAGCGUGCGUAGACGGUUAUGUAAGUCGGGUGUGAAAGCCCCGGGGCUCAACCUGGGAAUUGCAUUCGAGACUGUGUAGCUAGGGUACGGAAGAGGGAAGCGGAAUUUCAGGUGUAGCGGUGAAAUGCGUAGAUAUCUGAAGGAACACCAGUGGCGAAAAGCGGCUUCCUGGUCCAGUACCGACGUUCAGGCACGAAAGCGUGGGGAGCAAACAGG
rnacentral:rRNA from 1 species